rnacentral:rRNA from 1 species
CUUCAGCCGCUCAUUGACAAGAUCGUGGCAAGACUGGCGGGCUGGAAAUUCAAGAUGCUUGCUGCUGCAGGGCACCUGGUGCUGCUCAACUCCGUGCUCUCGGCCUUUACGGUCUAUUGGAUGUUUGUACACGAGCUGCCGGUGUGGGUACGUCGACAGAUCGACAAGAUCAGGCGCGCCUGGCUUUGGAAGGGCCAGGAUUUCUGUCAUGGCGGGCAAUGCAAGGUGGCAUUGGGACGCAUCUGUUGACCGCGCGAGCUCGGUGGCCUCGGCAUUUUGGACCUACAACAUUUUGGACUGGCAUUGAGAUUGCACUGGCUAUGGCUAGAGCGUGUGGCGACGUCAAGGCCAUGAAUCGGGCUGCCUGUCCCGUGCUCCACACCCGAGCGGCCGCUCUUCGCGGCUGCCACCACCGUGACUGUCCAUGAUGGCAAAGCAGCGAGCUUUUGGUUUGACAGCUGGCUGCUUGGGGAGGCCCCAAUCACCAUCGCGUCGGGCAUGUUCAUGCUCUCUCGGUGCAAAAGGCGAUCGGUCCAGGAUGCACUAUGGGACGGGAGGUGGGUAAAGGACGUGUAG